rnacentral:rRNA from 1 species
AGUGAGCGCUGGCGGUAGGCCUAACACAUGCAAGUCGAACGGCAGCACAGUAAGAGCUUGCUCUUACGGGUGGCGAGUGGCGGACGGGUGAGGAAUACAUCGGAAUCUACUUUUUCGUGGGGGAUAACGUAGGGAAACUUACGCUAAUACCGCAUACGACCUACGGGUGAAAGCAGGGGAUCUUCGGACCUUGCGCGAUUGAAUGAGCCGAUGUCGGAUUAGCUAGUUGGCGGGGUAAAGGCCCACCAAGGCGACGAUCCGUAGCUGGUCUGAGGAUGAUCAGCCACACUGGAACUGAGACACGGUCCAGACUCCUACGGGAGGCAGCAGUGGGGAAUAUUGGACAAUGGGCGCAAGCCUGAUCCAGCCAUACCGCGUGGGUGAAGAAGGCCUUCGGGUUGUAAAGCCCUUUUGUUGGGAAAGAAAAGCAGCAGGUUAAUACCCCGCUGUUCUGACGGUACCCAAAGAAUAAGCACCGGCUAACUUCGUG